rnacentral:rRNA from 3 species
GGUUAAGCGACUAAGCGUACACGGUGGAUGCCCUGGCAGUCAGAGGCGAUGAAGGACGUGCUAAUCUGCGAUAAGCGCCGGUAAGGUGAUAUGAACCGUUAUAACCGGCGAUUUCCGAAUGGGGAAACCCAGUGUGACUCGUCACACUAUCAUUAACUGAAUCCAUAGGUUAAUGAGGCGAACCGGGGGAACUGAAACAUCUAAGUACCCCGAGGAAAAGAAAUCAACCGAGAUUCCCCCAGUAGCGGCGAGCGAACGGGGAGGAGCCCAGAGCCUGAAUCAGCAUGUGUGUUAGUGGAAGCGUCUGGAAAGGCGCGCGAUACAGGGUGACAGCCCCGUACACAAAAGCGCAUGUGCUGUGAGCUCGAUGAGUAGGGCGGGACACGUGGUAUCCUGUCUGAAUAUGGGGGGACCAUCCUCCAAGGCUAAAUACUCCUGACUGACCGAUAGUGAACCAGUACCGUGAGGGAAAGGCGAAAAGAACCCCGGCGAGGGGAGUGAAAAAGAACCUGAAACCGUGUACGUACAAGCAGUGGGAGCACCCUUUGGGGUGUGACUGCGUACCUUUUGUAUAAUGGGUCAGCGACUUAUAUUCUGUAGCAAGGUUAACCGAAUAGGGGAGCCGGAGGGAAACCGAGUCUUAAUUGGGCGUUAAGUUGCAGGGUAUAGACCCGAAACCCGGUGAUCUAGCCAUGGGCAGGUUGAAGGUUGGGUAACACUAACUGGAGGACCGAACCGACUAAUGUUGAAAAAUUAGCGGAUGACCUGUGGCUGGGGGUGAAAGGCCAAUCAAACCGGGAGAUAGCUGGUUCUCCCCGAAAGCUAUUUAGGUAGCGCCUCGUGAAUUCAUCUCCGGGGGUAGAGCACUGUUUCGGCUAGGGGGCCAUCCCGGCUUACCAACCCGAUGCAAACUGCGAAUACCGGAGAAUGUUAUCACGGGAGACACACGGCGGGUGCUAACGUCCGUCGUGAAGAGGGAAACAACCCAGACCGCCAGCUAAGGUCCCAAAGUCAUGGUUAAGUGGGAAACGAUGUGGGAAGGCCCAGACAGCCAGGAUGUUGGCUUAGAAGCAGCCAUCAUUUAAAGAAAGCGUAAUAGCUCACUGGUCGAGUCGGCCUGCGCGGAAGAUGUAACGGGGCUAAACCAUGCACCGAAGCUGCGGCAGCGACGCUGAUGCGUUGUUGGGUAGGGGAGCGUUCUGUAAGCCUGCGAAGGUGGCCUGUGAGGGUUGCUGGAGGUAUCAGAAGUGCGAAUGCUGACAUAAGUAACGAUAAAGCGGGUGAAAAGCCCGCUCGCCGGAAGACCAAGGGUUCCUGUCCAACGUUAAUCGGGGCAGGGUGAGUCGACCCCUAAGGCGAGGCCGAAAGGCGUAGUCGAUGGGAAACGGGUUAAUAUUCCCGUACUUGGUGUUACUGCGAAGGGGGGACGGAGAAGGCUAUGUUGGCCGGGCGACGGUUGUCCCGGUUUAAGCGUGUAGGUGUGUGUUCCAGGUAAAUCCGGUUCACUUUAACACUGAGGCGUGAUGACGAGGCACUACGGUGCUGAAGCAACAAAUGCCCUGCUUCCAGGAAAAGCCUCUAAGCAUCAGGUAACAUCAAAUCGUACCCCAAACCGACACAGGUGGUCAGGUAGAGAAUACCAAGGCGCUUGAGAGAACUCGGGUGAAGGAACUAGGCAAAAUGGUGCCGUAACUUCGGGAGAAGGCACGCUGACACGUAGGUGAAGUGAUUUACUCAUGGAGCUGAAGUCAGUCGAAGAUACCAGCUGGCUGCAACUGUUUAUUAAAAACACAGCACUGUGCAAACACGAAAGUGGACGUAUACGGUGUGACGCCUGCCCGGUGCCGGAAGGUUAAUUGAUGGGGUCAGCGCAAGCGAAGCUCCUGAUCGAAGCCCCGGUAAACGGCGGCCGUAACUAUAACGGUCCUAAGGUAGCGAAAUUCCUUGUCGGGUAAGUUCCGACCUGCACGAAUGGCGUAAUGAUGGCCAGGCUGUCUCCACCCGAGACUCAGUGAAAUUGAACUCGCUGUGAAGAUGCAGUGUACCCGCGGCAAGACGGAAAGACCCCGUGAACCUUUACUAUAGCUUGACACUGAACAUUGAGCCUUGAUGUGUAGGAUAGGUGGGAGGCUUUGAAGUGUGGACGCCAGUCUGCAUGGAGCCGGCCUUGAAAUACCACCCUUUAAUGUUUGAUGUUCUAACGUGGACCCGUGAUCCGGGUUGCGGACAGUGUCUGGUGGGUAGUUUGACUGGGGCGGUCUCCUCCUAAAGAGUAACGGAGGAGCACGAAGGUUGGCUAAUCCUGGUCGGACAUCAGGAGGUUAGUGCAAUGGCAUAAGCCAGCUUGACUGCGAGCGUGACGGCGCGAGCAGGUGCGAAAGCAGGUCAUAGUGAUCCGGUGGUUCUGAAUGGAAGGGCCAUCGCUCAACGGAUAAAAGGUACUCCGGGGAUAACAGGCUGAUACCGCCCAAGAGUUCAUAUCGACGGCGGUGUUUGGCACCUCGAUGUCGGCUCAUCACAUCCUGGGGCUGAAGUAGGUCCCAAGGGUAUGGCUGUUCGCCAUUUAAAGUGGUACGCGAGCUGGGUUUAGAACGUCGUGAGACAGUUCGGUCCCUAUCUGCCGUGGGCGCUGGAGAACUGAGGGGGGCUGCUCCUAGUACGAGAGGACCGGAGUGGACGCAUCACUGGUGUUCGGGUUGUCAUGCCAAUGGCACUGCCCGGUAGCUAAAUGCGGAAGAGAUAAGUGCUGAAAGCAUCUAAGCACGAAACUUGCCCCGAGAUGAGUUCUCCCUGAGACUUAGAGUCUCCUGAAGGAACGUUGAAGACGACGACGUUGAUAGGCCGGGUGUGUAAGCGCAGCGAUGCGUUGAGCUAACCGGUACUAAUGAACCGUGAGGCUUAACCUU